UUGUGGCCGGGAGAGGCAGCCGUGCCCGGGCUGGCGCUGUCGAAGUUGACCUGGAAAGGCGCGUCACAGAGGGUGAGAGCCCCGUGCGCGACACCGCCGGGCCGGGCCGCUACUGUCUUCGGAGAGUCGGGUUGUUUGGGAUUGCAGCCCAAAGUGGGUGGUAAACUCCAUCUAAAGCUAAAUACUGGCACGAGACCGAUAGCGAACAAGUACCGUGAGGGAAAGGUGAAAAGUACUUUGAAAAGAGAGUCAAAAAGACCGCGAAACCGUUGGGAGGGAAACGAAUGCGGCUGAAGUGGCCGCCCGUCAGGCUCAGGAGACGUCGUGCGGGUCCCGGCUCCUCGCGGUUGCUUCCGCGGCGGUGGCCCUGGGUGCCCGUCGAGCGGCUCUGCACUUCUGCGGGCGGCCUGCCAACGGCAGUUGCUCCCGGCCCAGGAGGUCGUGUGGGGUAGGUGGCUCCGCGUCCGCGUGGGGACCUUACAGCCCGGCGUCUCGGCGCUCCGGGAGGCGACUGAGGAGAGUUUCCUUGCGCGAGUCUUUCGCGCUGGCAGCGCAGGCUGCCCCCCCUCCGGGGGGGGCGGCUGGGCCGCCUCCGUCCGGCACCCGGCCGCGCGGGUCACUGCUUGCAGUGUCACGUCGACGGUGCGGGGGUCGGGCGGGUGGGCCGGUCGCACCUUGCGCUGCGGUCGUUGGCGUCCGAAUGGCCGCAUCCGACCCGUCUUGAAACACGGACCAAGGAGUGCAACAUGUGCGCGAGUCCCGGGGUGGCAAACCCGUCGGCGCAAUGAAAGUGAAGGCGGCGCCUCGUUGCCCGCUGUGGCGAGAGCCCCUUCCCUCCCCUCCCGGGGAGGUGGGGGCGCAUCGUCGACCGAUCCCUGUGUCACGCUG
rnacentral:rRNA from 1 species